rnacentral:rRNA from 1 species
UACAGAGGUCUCAAGCGUUGUUCGGAUUCAUUGGGCGUAAAGGGUGCGUAGGCGGCUUGUCACGUCGGGUGUGAAAGCCCGGGGCUUAACCCCGGGUCUGCAUUCGAUACGGGCUAGCUAGAGUGUGGUAGGGGAGACUGGAAUUCCUGGUGUAGCGGUGAAAUGCGCAGAUAUCAGGAAGAACACCCGUGGCGAAGGCGGCUCUCUGGAACGCAACUGACGCUGAGACGCGAAAGCGUGGGGAGCAAACAGG